UGCGCAGGUGGGGAUGUAAGUCAGUGGUGAAAUGUUGCCGCUCAACGGUAAAAUUGCCAUUGAUACUGCAUCUCUUGAGUAUGGUUGAGGUAGGCGGAAUGUAUUGUGUAGCGGUGAAAUGCAUAGAUAUGACACAGAACACCGAUUGCGAAGGCAGCUUACUAAGCCAUUACUGACGCUGAGGCACGAAAGCGUGGGUAGCGAACAGGAUUAGAUACCCUGGUAGUCC
rnacentral:rRNA from 1 species